rnacentral:rRNA from 1 species
UGGGGAAUAUUGCACAAUGGGGAAGACCCUGAUGCAGCGACGCCGCGUGAAGGAAGAAGUAUCUCGGUAUGUAAACUUCUAUCAGCAGGGAAGAAAAUGACGGUACCUGACUAAGAAGCCCCGGCUAACUACGUGCCAGCAGCCGCGGUAAUACGUAGGGGGCAAGCGUUAUCCGGAUUUACUGGGUGUAAAGGGAGCGUAGACGGCUGAGCAAGUCAGAAGUGAAAGCCCGGGGCUCAACCCCGGGACUGCUUUUGAAAUCUGUCCGGCUCGAGUGCAGGAGAGGUAAGCGGAAUUCCUAGUGUAGCGGUGAAAUGCGUAGAUAUUAGGAGGAACACCAGUGGCGAAGGCGGCUUACUGGACGGUAACUGACGUUGAGGCUCGAAAGCGUGGGGAGCAAACAGGAUUAGAUACCC